AAGUACGAUGAUUGUAUUUAGAACUAUAAUUUCUCUAGUUAAAAUCACACUUUGAAUGAGUUACAAUGAAGUUAUUAUUAUAUCUCCUCCUCUUGACUUUUCAUUUUAAACAUAUAUAUAUGUAUUAUUAUUUCAGAUGGAACAUAGUGAAGGCUUUGAAGUACACAAAAGUGUAAGUGAAAAAAGAAACUUGACUUGGAUUGAUGAAAUGAACAACUUUUUGGUUGAUCGAUUAAUGGAGCAAAUGCAUAAAUGGCAAAAGAUAGGAGGAGUCUUCACCAAGACAGCUUAUGUAAUGGUUGCGCGAGAAAUUGGGGAAAAUUUUGAAUUGCGUUGUAACUCUGAGCAUAUAAAAAAUAGAAUGAAAACUUAAAAAAAAAACUUUUAUGCUGCUCAAGAAGUUUUACAAAAUGGUAGUGGAUUUGGUUUCAAUGAAUCAACUCAAAUGAUCGAAGCUACCACGGAAGUAUGGACUACUUACACUAAGAUGCAUCUGUUUCUGCACCAAAGUCAAACAAAGAAACAAAAAAGCGAAAAGCAAAAUAUGCUGACAUUGUAAGUGAAGAAUUAAGGUCAAUUAGAGUUGGAAUGGAUGCAGUUGUUGCGGCUCUUGAUAAAAGCAACCUUCAAAAUUAUACAGAAGAGCAAUUGUUUGAAGAGAUUGCUAAGAUUGGAGGCAUGAGUGAUGUAUCUCAUAUGAAAGCAUAUCAAGCUCUCACCGGUGAUAUGAGUGCAACUCGGGCCUUUCUUGCUUGUCCAAUUGAUAGGCGUAAGCUUUGGUUGUCAGUUAAAUUUGGACCUACUUUUUUUUAUGCCUAAUUUGAGAUGGAGAUUAUUUUUAUUUUUAGUUUUAGUUUUGUUUUGGGGCUAUACGUGAAGUUUUGAUAUCAAAACUCAUGGAUGAUAGUUGACUAUUAGAAAUUGAUCUAUUAUAUUUUUAGACUUAUGAAGACUUUUUUUAUUCAUCUA